rnacentral:rRNA from 1 species
CUAUCAUUAUCGCGGAGGAACUUGUGAACUCCCUUUCUCCAUCCUUGUCUUUUGAGUACUUAUGUUUCCUUGGUAGGCUUGCCUGCGAAUAGGACAACCAAACAACCUUUUUAAUUUUUAUUCAGCGUCUAAAUAAUUUUAAUAAUUACAACUUUCAACAACGGAUCUCUUGGUUCUGGCAUCGAUGAAGAACGCAGCGAAAUGCGAUAAGUAGUGUGAAUUGCAGAAUUCAGUGAAUCAUCGAAUCUUUGAACGCACAUUGCGCCCCUUGGUAUUCCAUGGGGCAUGCCUGUUCGAGCGUCAUUUGUACCUUCAAGCUAUGCUUGGUGUUGGGUGUUUGUCCUCUCAUUGCGUUUGGACUCGCCUUAAAACAAUUGGCAGCCAUUAUAUUGGUAUUGGAGCGCAGCACAGAUUGCAGUUCCAGCUAAAAAUAGUGGCAUCCAUUAAGUACUUUUAACACUUUUGACCUCGGAUCAGGUAGGGAUACCCGCUGAACUUAAGCAUAUCAUA